UACGUAGGGUGCAAGCGUUGUCCGGAAUUAUUGGGCGUAAAGAGCUCGUAGGCGGCCCGUCGCGUCGGCUGUGAAAACCCGAGGCUCAACCUCGGGCCUGCAGUCGAUACGGGCAGGCUAGAGUUCGGUAGGGGAGACUGGAAUUCCUGGUGUAGCGGUGAAAUGCGCAGAUAUCAGGAGGAACACCGGUGGCGAAGGCGGGUCUCUGGGCCGAAACUGACGCUGAGGAGCGAAAGCGUGGGGAGCGAACAGG
rnacentral:rRNA from 1 species